rnacentral:rRNA from 1 species
CUUUACUGUAACUUGAAAUUGAAAUUGGACUUUACUUGCGCAGUAUAGGUGGGAGGCGUUGAAAAUAUUCUUGCGGGCGUAUUGGAGUCAUCAGUGAGAUACCACUCUUGUAAUGUUAGAUUUCUAACUUUGGAUCAUUAUCUGGUCAAAGGACAGUUUCAGGCGGGCAGUUUGACUGGGGCGGUCGCCUCCCAAACGGUAACGGAGGCGCACAAAGGUUUCCUCUGAACGUGUAGAAAUCGUAUCUAGAGUGUAAAGGCAUAAGGAAGCUUGACUGUGAGACCUACAAGUCGAGCAGGGACGAAAGUCGGUCUUAGUGAUCUGACGGUGCUGAGUGGAAAGGCCGUCACUCAACGGAUAAAAGUUA